rnacentral:rRNA from 1 species
GAUGAACGCUAGCGGCGUGCCUAACACAUGCAAGGUCGAACGGGGUACCCGAAACGGAGACUUCGGUUGAAGUUUUGGACUACCUAGUGGCGGACGGGUGAGUAACGCGUGAGCAAGUCUGCCUCACAGAGGGGGAUAACACAGAGAAAUUUGUGGCUAAUACCGCAUAAUGGUAAUAGAUAAGACAUCUUAUUUAUACCGAAAGAUUUAUCGCUGUGAGAUGAGGCUCGCGUCUGAUUAGUUAGUUGUGGGGUAACGGCCUACCAAGACGACGAUCAGUAGCCGGACUGAGAGGUUGAACGGCCACAUUGGGACUGAGACACGGCCCAGUACUCCUACGGGAGGCAGCAGUAGGGAAUUUUGCGCAAU